AAUCCUGUAGCGUAGUGGUGAGCGCAAUCGCCUCGUAAGCGAGAGGACCCAGGUUCGAAUCCUGGGUGGGGUGA